UUUGUUUCUUUUUCUGAAAUACAGAUCUCAUUUUCCCCUGGUUGUUUCCUCCCCACCAGCAGCUCAAAGAGCCAACUGUGUGUUACAUUAAGCCCAUGCUUCAAGUUAGCAGUGUUUCAACAGCUUUCAGUUGCAGAUCUGAGCAUGCUGAUGACUAAGAGCUUCCAAGAGCCCCUGCAUACAUGCUGUCUUCUUUCUCCCUUGGGAAUCAGAGGAUACUGGGUGGGUGCAGAUCCAGACCCGGGACUGGUGCAGCUCACUUGUCUCCAACUCCUUUUACACCAUCAAUACCCAGAUACCCAUAGAAAACACCUGGGCUGCUAAAUCCCUCACCAGGAUGGAGAAAAGGAGCCUGUAUGAUGUUCAAGGCUUGGAGAGCUUUCACACCUCA